UUAUCCGGGUUGCGGACAGUGUCUGGUGGGUAGUUUGACUGGGGCGGUCUCCUCCUAAAGAGUAACGGAGGAGCACGAAGGUUGGCUAAUCCUGGUCGGACAUCAGGAGGUUAGUGCAAUGGCAUAAGCCAGCUUGACUGCGAGCGUGACGGCGCGAGCAGGUGCGAAAGCAGGUCAUAGUGAUCCGGUGGUUCUGAAUGGAAGGGCCAUCGCUCAACGGAUAAAAGGUACUCCGGGGAUAACAGGCUGAUACCGCCCAAGAGUUCAUAUCGACGGCGGUGUUUGGCACCUCGAUGUCGGCUCAUCACAUCCUGGGGCUGAAGUAGGUCCCAAGGGUAUGGCUGUUCGCCAUUUAAAGUGGUACGCGAGCUGGGUUUAGAACGUCGUGAGACAGUUCGGUCCCUAUCUGCCGUGGGCGCUGGAGAACUGAGGGGGGCUGCUCCUAGUACGAGAGGACCGGAGUGGACGCAUCACUGGUGUUCGGGUUGUCAUGCCAAUGGCACUGCCCGGUAGCUAAAUGCGGAAGAGAUAAGUGCUGAAAGCAUCUAAGCACGAAACUUGCCCCGAGAUGAGUUCUCCCUGACUCCUUGAGAGUCCUGAAGGAACGUUGAAGACGACGACGUUGAUAGGCCGGGUGUGUAAGCGCAGCGAUGCGUUGAGCUAACCGGUACUAAUGAACCGUGAGGCUUAACCUU
rnacentral:rRNA from 1 species